CCGGGCCGGGCCGGGCCGGGCCGGGCGGAGGAGAAGGAACCGGGCCGGGGACAGGAUGAAGUGGAAGAGCAGUGGGUCUGUGCCAGCCCCUCCCGCUGCAGCUGCCGCUCCUGCCGCCGCCUCCGUUCCAGCUCGGCCGUAAAAUUCCGCUCCGGGCUCAGACUUGCUCAACUCGGUGCCGCGGAGCGGAGAAUUAUUUAGGCCUGGAAAAUCCCCAACGUUUUGGGGUGGCUUUUCCACAGGCACUGCCCGGGGCACCCCCGCCUCCCGAUUUUCAAUACAGUCCCCUCGAUCGUGGAAUUUAAAUCUGCCCAAUGCCUUUUUGAAAGUGAAAAUAAGAGGUACCCUAUUAUGACAUUUUUGAAUUAAAAUAUUCCUUUUCGUGGUUUCCCCCCCCUCGCUCCCCAUUGUAACAGUAUGUAUGCUUGGCCUAGUGUGGAAGCACCCCCUCCAUCGGCUUCAGUAAAGAAGACUGAAGUACGCUGUAAAUAUGGAAUAUUUAACACUCCCAAUACUGAAUGCAUGUACAGUUAUGAAUGUUAUAGAGAUAUUUAUGUUUUAGUAUGAUGCUGUAAGAUGGUAUACAAAUUUUGUAAUAAUGACAAGUACUCUCCUUUGAAAAGAAAGUACUUCCUUCACACUGUAAUUUAUAAAAUUUGCUACCACCAGAUGUGGUGAUGACUAGGAUUGUAGUUGUCUUCGAAUGGCAAUUAAAUUUGUGCAGGGAUAUUACCGAUAAUGGCUGCUUGGAAUCUUCCAAGUUCAGAGCUGAUGAAGGGCUUGAUUUCAUAUUUGCUGUGGACUUUUGAGAAGCAUCUUGGAUGGCUUUUAUUCCAAACAAUUUAGACCUUUUGGGCUGAUCAGACGCCUACUCUUAAAUUCUUUUGACACCACAAUAAACCUAAGUGCUGUGUGAUAACCAUUAAACAAAACUGCUUUUAUAUUCUGUCUUUCAAAAACAAAAUUUAGGAGUGCUUGCUGUAACUUCUUAAGUCCUACAGAUCUUGGAAACAGGUUCUUUUAAUUAUCUUUGUUGAGAAUCUGCCCAGUUGAACUUCUCAGAGGUCCUCCUUUUGGUCUCCCUGCCCAGAGAUGACAUGGAGUAACCCAGUAUAGGGUUUUAUCCCAGCAUUUGAUUCAUAAAUUAUUCCAAACUAUUGUCUGAUGCUGGCAGUGUUGUCUUCAGUGCCAGAUGUUAACUACAGGUCCUAAGGAGGAACGGUUUUAUUUGGUACCUGACAAGUGGAAAUUUAACAAUAUUUUCAAGGUAUGGAGAUGGUGAUAGGAAAUAUGCCCUGUUAAAUUUCUGCCUUUCAAACAGUAGCUGAAGCCAGAAAGGGCUGCUUACCUUAUCUUCCUGUCAAAUAAAUUUUGGCAGAUUUCUAGCCAUUUUGGUUGCAAAGAAUACAGUAAGUGAAAAUAUAUUGCAUCAGAUUAACCAGUUAGUAUAAGUCAAAGACAAAAAAUUUGCUAGCCUUAAAAUAUUCUGAAAACCUAAAGUAUCUUUUGUUUGCCCUGGACUAACGAUCACCUUAGCUAGUUUCACUGCUUGGAGAGGUCAGAGGACACUAGUUAAGGGAGGCUUUACUAGAAGGUGAAAUUGUUUUGGGGUAUGCUACUAACAAUUUCAUUAGAUGCUAUUCAAAAAUAAUAGCACACAUGAGGAUUAUAUAGCAGUGAGAACACUCGCAGGGUCUAAAUGUGAACCCACUACACAAAAAUACAGAAAAUAAACUUAAUCUUAUAUACGUGACCAAAAAACACUGCUUUUGUGUAGACAUACUGCCUAUUAUGUAGGUGAGUGUACAUACACACACAUGGUGCAAGGUGCACAUUUAAUUAAAGCAUUUUAAAACAUUUCAGUUCUUAAUGAUACCAGAACAGGGUGUGACUAAAACUAAUCAUAUCAAGAAAAAAGCAAAACCUAAAUAUUUUAGUGGCAACUUAAAGAGCAGAGCAGACCAACCAUAUAACAAACCUUUAAAAUCCUGAGCAAAUAACAUUUUAUCCUGGCACUGGAAGGAUUGUACUAUUGGCACCAUAUUUCUAUGGGAAGAGUUUUCCAUUAACUGCUUACCACUUGCUAGUUUCCCUGGGUGAGUUCACAUAUAACAAGUCAGCUGGAAACUACAUAGGUGUGGCUUGCUGCUAUAUGUGAACCCAGCAUGAUAUAUUUGGUUUUCAUGAACCCACAUAGAGAACCAAUGGGUUUUUAAGGUGUCCACACCUCAUCUUUGCUUGAUUUUAUGUAUGAAUAUAGUUGCCAUGUUUGUGUGGCUUUUGCCAUAGACUUUGGCAGCAAGAGUGGCCAUAGCUGCAGCAACUUCUGUACUCAUCGCUCUCCAAAAUUUUCUCUGCUGAGUUGCCAGCGGCAGUGCAGUGAUUGACUGCACCCUUUCUGCAGUGGUAGUGUAUGACAUUCCAGUGUCCUGCCAUGGUGAUGGGAACUUGCUGGCAGCAGGGCAUAGAACUGUGCUGCCUCCAGCAGCAGUGACUGCAAAAAGACAGCCAUGCUUGGCACUCCAGCCUGGUCACUUGUGCUUUGCAGGAGCAGUGCUCUGAAGUGGCACUGUGUUUGUACCAUUCCCAGAGCCAGUGGUCUCAUGUGGAGACUGUCCUGCAUUCAAGGAGCACAUGGGCAGUUUGUGGGAGUUUGCCAACAGUGUGAGAAUCCCAAGGAACCUGUGUCUCCCACCCUCUGCCCCCACAAUCUCUGGGUCUUUCCAUAAGCCACAGUGCCCCACCCCCACAUACUUGUGGGACUAACCCUGUCCUGACAACCUACCAACAUUUCCCCAAACUGAUGCCCAGUAGGCACCCUCAAUAAAGUCUGCCGAACAAGGUGUGUUCCCUCUAUCUCUGGCACAGAUGCCUGAUUUGAUACCCUCUGUGCAUCUGGUUGUGGCAGGGAGGGGAUAAGCUGCUGGCACCUUGCACAAAUCCUGUAUCAUGUGUAGACAUGUACAGGGGAAGAGAUGUGUGCAUGCUUGUACACUGACGUGGCAUGUGGCAGGAGUGGGGAGCACACCUACAGUGCUACUCUGGAGCAACUGUGCUACUCUAGCAAGUUGCUUUGCUGAGCAGCUAAAAAAGAAACCCACCUAGGAGCAGCAGGCUGCUGCCUUGCCUAGAGAAGCAUGUAAACCAUUGAGUGAAAGGCAAGUGAGGCAGAAGUGGUUCACCCUGGGAUUAAUUCUGAGCCACAGAUGUAUAUGGGAUACUAGCUGCCAUUCAGAGGAAGAUGGAGAUGCAUGUCUGAACCCAGGAUUGAAGGUGACAUCACAUGCCAUAAGUAUCUCACGACCUCGCUUAAUGUCAUGUGAACACAGCCAUUAUGUUAUGCAAUAUAGACGUUUAAAAGGAUGAAAAUGGCACCACCACAGAAAACUCUCCCUUUUUGUUGCUUGCUUGUUUACUUUCCAUGGUGAGGGAACACUAAGAGCCCCAGCUAAAGAUCUUAAUGCAUGGACAGGUUGGCAUUUGGACUCCAGGCCAUUUAAGAUUUUAAAAGGUAAGCAAAAAGGUUUGAAUUAGCCCCAGAAACAGCUUGUGUGAUUCCACUUGGUCACACAAGUUAGAAUCUGGGUAGCUGUGCUUUGCAUUAUUUAAAACAUCCAAACAUUUUUCAAGAGCAGUCUCAGUAGUUAAGGUUGUUAUUGCAGUGUGGGUUCCUUGGAGACAAAAGGAAACAGUGCUUCAGAUCAUUUUACUCACAAAAAAGGAUUUUGAUAAUCCAGUAUCAUACCUGCUCCAUAAGCUUCUCAUACUGCCCAAGACUAUGACAUAUGGUACCAAUUUAAACAGGAACUGGUACAUUUCAAACGUCAAUGAAGGGAGUGUAAGUUUCUCUGAAUUGCCUACAGUAAUGUUAAAAUGCUAACCAAGUAAUUCAAAAGCUGUAAGUAUCUUUCCUGUCUUCCUAGCAAUGUUUCUAUGGAAAUACAGUUCUACUCAUGUCUACUCAGAAGUAACCUCCACUUAAUUCAGUGGAAGUUACUCCCUAAUUAAACCUUUGAAAGUAAUAUGAGGUCAUCUAUUCCUAAAGAUUAUCAUUUACAUUACACUUAUAUCUUGCUUUUGUCAUUUUGUGAGAAACCCAAGGCAGCUUACAUAGCUCCAUUUUAUCGUCACACUAGUCACACUAUGAGGUAUGUAAGGUUGAGAGUGAAUGAUUGGCCCAAAGCCAUCUAAAGAGCUUCAUGGCUGAGUGGAGACUAGACUCUUUAGACUCUAGGUCCACAAGUCUGCUACUUCUAACCAGCAAACCAGCUCUCGUAUAUCACAAUUAAAAAUCUCAUUAUUUCCUGUUUGCUUUUUGGCAAGAACUUUUAAUUCCCAUGUAUACCUCAGCUGCCUUUCAAAUUAUGCAGAUAUCCCACAUUUAGUGAAGUUUUUUCUCUGAAAUGGAAAUGUCUAGCUAAUGUAUUAUAAUCAAGGGCAGGAAUUGUAGGCCUUUUUUCUAUCUAAGGGUGUAUCAUGCUAAAUGAAUUAAAGUGGAACUCUAAGGGAUGGAGUGCUGCUGCUGCUUCCCUUCUCAAAUUGUCCUAUCUUCCUUUACCUUUCCUGAACAGAGAAAGGUGUCAAAAUGCCCUGCACACAGGACAUGCAUAGUUCUUUCCCAUAAUAGUUCUUUCCUAUAAUAAACAUUCCAAAUCCUGGAGGUAUUUCUUCCUUUAAACAGGGAUCAGUUAGAAUGUAUUUGUCCUGUCAUCUGUCUUCCUCUUAUUCCUGUUGUCCACACAGGUUCUGAUCACAGAGCAUCCAUUCUUUCAAGGAAUUUUUUGCCUCUUAACACUUGCUUUACAAUAUAGAACCAGAUUGUUGAGUUAUAUAAUUUUUAUACAUGUUUUAAGUUCUAUCCAUACCAACAUUUCCUAGGUGAACUCAGUAUUUACAAGCUCUCUCAGCUGGGAUGAAUCAUGGAAGAUUGAUGUUUAAAAGUAUCCUGUAAAUGGGUUACAAUUUCACUUCCAAGUGAAAUGCAUAUAGAUCACAUUUACCUAUUCAUUGGAUCUAAAAAAAACGUGUAGGAUUAGUAUUUUGUCUCUGAUUUUUAAAGAACCACCAUUUUUUGUAGUUUGACCAUUAUAGCAUUUUACAGUACAUCCGGAGUUUCAUGAUACCUUCCCCACUCCCAAGUAUGUUAUAUCCCUUCCAUAAUUUAGGAACAUUUUUUGUAAAGCAAGGAAGAUCAGUGACUAUUAUCAAUCUAAUUUUGAAUAUAAUUAAAGUAUAGUGAUUUGAAAAAUGGAAAUGUUUGUUAGAAAGCUGAAGGCUACACAAAACAAGGUAUAGGGCAAGAAUGGGAACUGGUCUUCAAAGGAGUUUAUUUUCUUUUUGAAGUUCUUUCAUUGACAAUUGUUUCAGCUGUUUGCUACUCAAGGACUUUCAAGAAUUAAAUGAAAAAAUAAGCAUUUUUUAAAUUU